UGGGGAGUGAUGUAAUGGUCAGCAUUCGGGCCUUUGAAGCCUGCCGUCCCGGUUCGAGUCCGGGCUCCCCAG
rnacentral:tRNA from 2 species